AUUGAACGCUGGCGGCAGGCCUAACACAUGCAAGUCGAGCGAGCGGCGGACGGGUGAGUAAUGUAUGGGGACUGCCCGAUAGAGGGGGAUAACUACUGGAAACGGUAGCUAAUACCGCAUACUAUCGGAUAACCCAUAUGGGAUUAGCUCGUAGGUGAGGUAAUGGCUCACCUAGGCGACGAUCCCUAGAUGGUCUGAGAGGAUGAUCAGCCACGCUGGGACGGAGCCCGGGCCCGAGCUCCUACGGUGGCAGCAGUGGGGAAUAUUGGACGAUGGGCGCAAGCCUGAUGCAGCCAUGCCGCGUGUAUGGAGAGGGCCCUAGGGUUGUAAAGUACUUUCAGUCGGGAGGCGUUACCGGCAGAAGAAGCACCGGCUAACUCCGUGCCAGCAGCCGCGGUAAUAC
rnacentral:rRNA from 1 species